rnacentral:rRNA from 1 species
GCCUGAUGGAGCACGCCGCGUGAAUGAAGAAGGUCUUCGGAUCGNNNAUUCUGUUGUUNNNGAAGAAUAUGAGUAAUAGUAACUGAUUAUUCACUGACGGUAUCUAACCAGCAAGUCACGGCUAACUACGUGCCAGCAGCCGCGGAA